UACAGGGGGGGGCAAGCGUUGUUCGGAAUUACUGGGCGUAAAGGGCUCGUAGGCGGCCAACUAAGUCCGACGUGAAAUCCCAAAGCUUAACUUUGGAACUGCGUCGGAUACUGGAUGGCUUGAAUUCGGGAGAGGGAUGCAGAAUUCCAGGUGUAGCGGUGAAAUGCGUAGAUAUCUGGAGGAAUACCGGUGGCGAAGGCGGCAUCCUGGACCGACAUUGACGCUGAGGAGCGAAAGCUAGGGGAGCAAACGGG
rnacentral:rRNA from 1 species